GACGAACGCUGGCGGCGUGCUUAACACAUGCAAGUCGAACGAAGAGCGAUGGAAGCUUGCUUCUAUCAAUCUUAGUGGCGAACGGGUGAGUAACGCGUAAUCAACCUGCCCUUCAGAGGGGGACAACAGUUGGAAACGACUGCUAAUGCCGCAUACGAUCUGACCUCGGCAUCGAGGAUAGAUGAAAGGUGGCCUCUAUUUAUAAGCUAUCACUGAAGGAGGGGAUUGCGUCUGAUUAGCUAGUUGGAGGGGUAACGGCCCACCAAGGCGAUGAUCAGUAGCCGGUCUGAGAGGAUGAACGGCCACAUUGGGACUGAGACACGGCCCAGACUCCUACGGGAGGCAGCAGUGGGGAAUCUUCCGCAAUGGACGAAAGUCUGACGGAGCAACGCCGCGUGAGUGAUGGCGGCCUUCGGGUUGUAAAGCUCUGUUAAUCGGGACGAAAGGCCUUCUUGCGAAUAGUUAGAAGGAUUGACGGUACCGGAAUAGAAAGCCACGGCUAACUACGUG
rnacentral:rRNA from 1 species